UUAAAGAUUUCAGUGCGUAAGUUUUUUUAUAUAAUAAUGGACGUCCGAUACAUUCAAGCCUUUGCCAAAUAAGUUAAUACCAAGCUAAUUAAGACUAUAAGCUCCACAAAACUUUCUCUGUAUUUCUCAGUAUGGCUACAUUAACAAAAGGGUGUAGUCUGGCAAC